AGUAGGGAUCUUCCGCAAUGGGCGAAAGCCUGACGGAGCAACGCCGCGUGAGUGAUGAAGGUCUUCGGAUCGUAAAACUCUGUUAUUAGGGAAGAACAAAUGUGUAAGUAACUAUGCACGUCUUGACGGUACCUAAUCAGAAAGCCACGGCUAACUACGUGCCAGCAGCCGCGGUAAUACGUAGGUGGCAAGCGUUAUCCGGAAUUAUUGGGCGUAAAGCGCGCGUAGGCGGUUUUUUAAGUCUGAUGUGAAAGCCCACGGCUCAACCGUGGAGGGUCAUUGGAAACUGGAAAACUUGAGUGCAGAAGAGGAAAGUGGAAUUCCAUGUGUAGCGGUGAAAUGCGCAGAGAUAUGGAGGAACACCAGUGGCGAAGGCGACUUUCUGGUCUGUAACUGACGCUGAUGUGCGAAAGCGUGGGGAUCAAACAGGAUUAGAUACCCUGGUAGUCCACGCCGUAAACGAUGAGUGCUAAGUGUUAGGGGGUUUCCGCCCCUUAGUGCUGCAGCUAACGCAUUAAGCACUCCGCCUGGGGAGUACGACCGCAAGGUUGAAACUCAAAGGAAUUGACGGGGGCCCCGCACAAGA
rnacentral:rRNA from 1 species